CCCGCCCAGACCAGCGGGUUGAUAGGCCGGAAGUGGAAGCACCGCAAGGUGUGGAGCUGACCGGUACUAAUAGGCCGAGGGCUUGACCA
rnacentral:rRNA from 1 species